rnacentral:rRNA from 1 species
GCAUAUCACACUCACUCUGGAGUGAGGAGUGUGUCAAAUGCUCCGGCGCCGAAGGAUGUGGCUGCGGCCGAUUAGGUAGACGGUGGGGUAACGGCCCCACCGGUGCCGAUAAUCGGUACGGGUCAUGAGAGUGAGAACCCCGGAGACGGAAUCUGAGACAAGAUUCCGGGCCCUACGGGGGCGCAGCAGGCGCGAACCCUUUACACUGCACGCCAGUGCGAUAAGGGAAUCCCAAGUGCACAGGCAUAGAGCCUGUGCUUUUCUGAACCGUAGGGAGGUUCAGGAACAAGGGCUGGGCAAGACCGGUGCCAGCCGCCGCGGUAAUACCGGCAGCCCAAGUGAUGACCGAUUUUAUUGGGCCUAAAGCGUCCGUAGCUGGCCGCGCAAGUCUAUCGGGAAAUCUAUCCGCUCAACGGAUAGACGCCCGGUGGAAACUGCGUGGCUUGGGACCGGAAGGCGCGAAGGGUACGUCCGGGGUAGGAGUGAAAUCCUGUAAUCCUGGACGGACCGCCGAUGGCGAAAGCACUUCGCGAGGACGGAUCCGACAGUGAGGGACGAAAGCUAGGGUCUCGAACCGGAUUAGAUACCCGGGUAGUCCUAGCCGUAAACGAUGCCUGUUAGGUGUGGCUCCCACUACGAGUGGGUGCUGUGCCGUAGGGAAGCCGCUAAACAGGCCGCCUGGGAAGUACGUCCGCAAGGAUAAACUAA